rnacentral:lncRNA from 10 species
GGCUGCUGGCAGCGCCAUGGAGACGGUACAGCUGAGGAACCCGCCGCGCCGGCAGCUGAAAAAGUUGGAUGAAGAUAGUUUAACCAAACAACCAGAAGAAGUAUUUGAUGUCUUAGAGAAACUUGGAGAAGGUUGGAAAAAUACUCUUUGGAAUCCAGCAAGAAAUCAAGCAGAGAAGGGAAGUAAAAAUGACACACCAGCUGUGCUGUGAAAAGACAAGUCCAAGAUGAAUCUGAAGACUGCCAGUUGACUGGCAUCAUUAAAGAGACGAGGUCUCACUGUGUUGCCCAGGCUGGUCUUGAACUCUUGGCCUUAAGUGAUCCUCCUGCCUCAGCCUCCCAAAGUGCUAGGAUUAGAGACGUGAACCACUGCACCUGGACAAAUUGCGUUUUAGAUCUAUGGAUGUCUUCUGCAAGGAAUGUGGAAAUUUCCCUAUGAAGAUAUCACCAGGGAGAAAACAAAGCUUCAGAUCUUUCUUCCCAUACUAUCACCUUAUUGUUCUUCUAAAUAAUACCAGAUUUCUGGUAUUUCUUGGAUUUCUGUUAUUCUGACUGAAUGAACCUAAGCAAGCCUCAUUUAACUAGGAAUAUUUUGAAGGAAGACCUUCACUGCACUUCUUUUCCAAACAUGUGACACAAUGCUAUUCUUUUUUUUUGAGAUUAAGUCUUGCUCUGUCACCAGGCUGGAGUGCAAUGUCACAAUCUCGGCUCACUGCAACCUCCGCCUCCCAGGUUCAAGCGAUUCCCCUGCCUCAGCCUCCUGAGUAGCUGGGACUAUAGGCACACACCACCACGCCCGACUUAUUUUUUGUAUUUUAGUAGAGAUGGGGUUUCACCAUAUUGGCCAGGAUGGUCUUGAUCUCGUGAUCUUGUGAUCUGCCUGCCUCAGCCUCCCAAAUUGCUGGAAUUACAGAUGUGAGCCACCACGCCUGGCCAAUGCUAUUCUUAAAUUGUUCGGGAGGAUGAAUGGUUUGUGAACUCUCACUGACUUGUAUCUUGUGAAAUGAGCUAUGGCUAAAAAAACUGUUGGAUUCUGGAGGCUGCAAUCAUUCUGUGUUAUGAGGAUCAUAUGGAUCUGUGGCAGAGUAGAGCCAAAGCUCCAGACCAGGAUGAGUGGAGAGCACUUGGGAAGUGUUUUCAAGUGGAGCCUAGCACCUUUUUUCUUCUACUUAAAGUUGUACACAUUGACUCAUUUGAAUUUUUAUCAUAGAAUGAUAACAAAAGCAUCUUGCCCAUGGUUUCAUAAAAAAUGAGUGCUAUUGUUAAGACUUGUAUCUGAUUAAUUUGGCCUCAGAUACUGUGGUAUUUCCAUUUUUCUACAUAGAUCCUUGCCUUGCAUGGCUUAUGUAAAACACCUACUUCUCCAUUCUCUGCUGUCAGUUGUAAUUCAUUGAAUCAUCUCAUUUUGUUGUAGGGAAUCAAGUUUUAAGGGACUUGCUUGUGAGUAUGAUUGCUGAAAUCUUCUAACCACCCCCUAUCCCUGCCUUCAGAUUACUGUAGAUGCAGUAUAUGGAAUCAGGAAUCUUAACUUCAUGUGAGCUAUUGGAGUUUUCCUUGCUAUCAGGAUGCAUAGGGAGGUAUGAAGAGUGUUCUGGUCAAGAUUGCUGAGUGAGUGUAUGAAGAGAACUUUCUAAUAUAUAAGAAUAAUGAGUGAAAAUUAUUUUAAAUAUAAGGAUAUAUAGACAGCUAUGGACAAGGGAUAGGAAAGAAAUCUAAAUAAUCAGCGGAGACUAAAGCAUGCCUUAUCCUUGUCAGGAGAUUGCAUUUGAGCUUCCUGCAUGAAGUUGGGGGCUGGAACUCGGCUCUCCAUCUGUGAACUAAAGCUGAAAUAAAUUUGCCUGACCACAACCA